rnacentral:rRNA from 1 species
AUUGAACGCUGGCGGCAUGCUUUACACAUGCAAGUCGAACGGUAACAGGGUGCUUGCACCGCUGACGAGUGGCGAACGGGUGAGUAAUGCGUCGGAACGUGCCGAGUAGUGGGGGAUAACGCAGCGAAAGUUGUGCUAAUACCGCAUACGUACUGAGGUAGAAAGUGGGGGACCUUCGGGCCUCACGCUAUUCGAGCGGCCGACGUCUGAUUAGCUAGUAGGUGAGGUAAAGGCUCACCUAGGCGACGAUCAGUAGCGGGUCUGAGAGGAUGAUCCGCCACACUGGGACUGAGACACGGGCCAGACUCCUACGGGAGGCAGCAGUGGGGAAUUUUGGACAAUGGGCGAAAGCCUGAUCCAGCCAUGCCGCGUGUCUGAAGAAGGCCUUCGGGUUGUAAAGGACUUUUGUCGGGGAGGAAAUCCCCAGCGUUAAUACCGCUGGGGGAUGACAGUACCUGAAGAAUAAGCACCGGCCAACUACGUGCCAGCCGCCGCGGUAAUAC